GGUUAAGCGACUAAGCGUACACGGUGGAUGCCCUGGCAGUCAGAGGCGAUGAAGGACGUGCUAAUCUGCGAAAAGCGUCGGUAAGGUGAUAUGAACCGUUAUAACCGGCGAUGUCCGAAUGGGGAAACCCAGUGCAAUUCGUUGCACUAUCGUUAACUGAAUACAUAGGUUAACGAGGCGAACCGGGGGAACUGAAACAUCUAAGUACCCCGAGGAAAAGAAAUCAACCGAGAUUCCCCCAGUAGCGGCGAGCGAACGGGGAGCAGCCCAGAGUCUGAAUCAGCUUGUGUGUUAGUGGAACGGUCUGGAAAGUCCGACGGUACAGGGUGAUAGUCCCGUACACCAAAAUGCACAGGCUGUGAACUCGAAGAGUAGGGCGGGACACGUGGUAUCCUGUCUGAAUAUGGGGGGACCAUCCUCCAAGGCUAAAUACUCCUGACUGACCGAUAGUGAACCAGUACCGUGAGGGAAAGGCGAAAAGAACCCCGGCGAGGGGAGUGAAAAAGAACCUGAAACCGUGUACGUACAAGCAGUGGGAGCACCUUCGGGUGUGACUGCGUACCUUUUGUAUAAUGGGUCAGCGACUUAUAUUCUGUAGCAAGGUUAACCGUAUAGGGGAGCCGCAGGGAAACCGAGUCUUAACUGGGCGUUAAGUUGCAGGGUAUAGACCCGAAACCCGGUGAUCUAGCCAUGGGCAGGUUGAAGGUUGGGUAACACUAACUGGAGGACCGAACCGACUAAUGUUGAAAAAUUAGCGGAUGACUUGUGGCUGGGGGUGAAAGGCCAAUCAAACCGGGAGAUAGCUGGUUCUCCCCGAAAGCUAUUUAGGUAGCGCCUCGUGAACUCAUCUUCGGGGGUAGAGCACUGUUUCGGCUAGGGGGUCAUCCCGACUUACCAACCCGAUGCAAACUACGAAUACCGAAGAAUGUUAUCACGGGAGACACACGGCGGGUGCUAACGUCCGUCGUGAAGAGGGAAACAACCCAGACCGCCAGCUAAGGUCCCAAAGUCAUGGUUAAGUGGGAAACGAUGUGGGAAGGCACAGACAGCCAGGAUGUUGGCUUAGAAGCAGCCAUCAUUUAAAGAAAGCGUAAUAGCUCACUGGUCGAGUCGGCCUGCGCGGAAGAUGUAACGGGGCUAAACCAUGCACCGAAGCUGCGGCAGCGACACUAUGUGUUGUUGGGUAGGGGAGCGUUCUGUAAGCCUGCGAAGGUGACCUGUGAGGGUUGCUGGAGGUAUCAGAAGUGCGAAUGCUGACAUAAGUAACGAUAAAGCGGGUGAAAAGCCCGCUCGCCGGAAGACCAAGGGUUCCUGUCCAACGUUAAUCGGGGCAGGGUGAGUCGACCCCUAAGGCGAGGCCGAAAGGCGUAGUCGAUGGGAAACAGGUUAAUAUUCCUGUACUUGGUGUUACUGCGAAGGGGGGACGGAGAAGGCUAUGUUAGCCGGGCGACGGUUGUCCCGGUUUAAGCAUGUAGGCUGAUUGUCCAGGCAAAUCCGGAUAAUCAAGGCUGAGGUGUGAUGACGAGGCACUACGGUGCUGAAGUAACAAAUGCCCUGCUUCCAGGAAAAGCCUCUAAGCAUCAGGUAACAUUAAAUCGUACCCCAAACCGACACAGGUGGUCAGGUAGAGAAUACCAAGGCGCUUGAGAGAACUCGGGUGAAGGAACUAGGCAAAAUGGUGCCGUAACUUCGGGAGAAGGCACGCUGGUGUGUAGGUGAAGCCCCUGCGGGUGGAGCUGAGACCAGUCGAAGAUACCAGCUGGCUGCAACUGUUUAUUAAAAACACAGCACUGUGCAAACACGAAAGUGGACGUAUACGGUGUGACGCCUGCCCGGUGCCGGAAGGUUAAUUGAUGGGGUUAUCCGUAAGGAGAAGCUCUUGAUCGAAGCCCCGGUAAACGGCGGCCGUAACUAUAACGGUCCUAAGGUAGCGAAAUUCCUUGUCGGGUAAGUUCCGACCUGCACGAAUGGCGUAAUGAUGGCCAGGCUGUCUCCACCCGAGACUCAGUGAAAUUGAACUCGCUGUGAAGAUGCAGUGUACCCGCGGCAAGACGGAAAGACCCCGUGAACCUUUACUAUAGCUUGACACUGAACAUUGAGCCUUGAUGUGUAGGAUAGGUGGGAGGCUUUGAAGCGUGGACGCCAGUCUGCGUGGAGCCAACCUUGAAAUACCACCCUUUAAUGUUUGAUGUUCUAACGUUGGCCCCUGACCGGGGUUGCGGACAGUGUCUGGUGGGUAGUUUGACUGGGGCGGUCUCCUCCCAAAGCGUAACGGAGGAGCACGAAGGUUAGCUAAUCCUGGUCGGACAUCAGGAGGUUAGUGCAAUGGCAUAAGCUAGCUUGACUGCGAGCGUGACGGCGCGAGCAGGUGCGAAAGCAGGUCAUAGUGAUCCGGUGGUUCUGAAUGGAAGGGCCAUCGCUCAACGGAUAAAAGGUACUCCGGGGAUAACAGGCUGAUACCGCCCAAGAGUUCAUAUCGACGGCGGUGUUUGGCACCUCGAUGUCGGCUCAUCACAUCCUGGGGCUGAAGUAGGUCCCAAGGGUAUGGCUGUUCGCCAUUUAAAGUGGUACGCGAGCUGGGUUUAGAACGUCGUGAGACAGUUCGGUCCCUAUCUGCCGUGGGCGCUGGAGAAUUGAGGGGGGCUGCUCCUAGUACGAGAGGACCGGAGUGGACGCAUCACUGGUGUUCGGGUUGUCAUGCCAAUGGCACUGCCCGGUAGCUAAAUGCGGAAGAGAUAAGUGCUGAAAGCAUCUAAGCACGAAACUUGCCCCGAGAUGAGUUCUCCCUGAGACUUUAAGUCUCCUGAAGGAACGUUGAAGACGACGACGUUGAUAGGCCGGGUGUGUAAGCGCAGCGAUGCGUUGAGCUAACCGGUACUAAUGAACCGUGAGGCUUAACCUU
rnacentral:rRNA from 1 species